rnacentral:lncRNA from 1 species
UUAGGUAAAGAGGUAGCGGAGUGCUGGGGAUGGUGGGAUAAGAAAGCUGUAGGAAGAAGCUUGAGUGUAAUAGUUCAAGCCUUCGUAAGUAGAGUUGCUGUAAAGUAUAGUGUCAGGAAUUCUGGGCAGAGAUUUCUUAGAAACUAUGAGGUAUGAAGUCCCUGUCUUAAUAUGCCUCUGGCUUUCUUUCUGUUCCCUUGCCUUGCAGCUCUGUUCCAAACCAGGCACCACAGCCAUCCAACUGGGUCCAGUUCUGAACAGCACUGGCAGGAUGUUAAGGACAGACUUGAAGAAUAAAAAUGACCUUGAGGGCAACGAUCUUUGAGGGGAGCUAGGAACCCCUUUCCUCCCCAGAACCAAAUUUACUGGACAAUCUUUCUCAUUGCUUCUCCAUUGUGUCCAGGCUGUCCGGGCUGGUUUGUGUCACUUCCCCAUGUUGUUCUUGCUGUGCAGCCAAGAAGGUCUUUCUUAUCUCCUGUUCUCUACCAAGGCAGGGGGAUAGUUGGUCUUAUCGUGCCUAUGGCUGCCUAUUCAGGGCUCAAAAGGCCAGGGUCUCUUUGAGGGGGAAAUAACCCUAACAUCUGUGAAGUUUUUCUCCAUUUUUAAAUUAUUUCAGAAUCAUCUCAUGACCCUUGUGUGCCUCUUUGUGAAGCCCUGUUUAGCAAUUUCAGGGGAGUCAAAAACCUUGGAACCUUCUUUUCCAUUAACCCAAGACACUAAAAAUGGACAGACUGAGCUCAGUGUUUCCAGGUUCAGAGUUUUGGUGGGGGUAGGUAUCUUGAAAGCAAAUUGCUCUCCCACCACUUCUCUUCCCUCUGCCCAUCAUUCCUUUGACAGUGCCAGGGAGGAGUCCCCAUUCAUCGGUGAGUGGGCACCAGCUCUUUUGUUUGUGAAGGGGCAGUUUGAGAGUGAAACAGGAGGACAUCACUUCCUCCCUCAGCCCCUGUUUGGAUGUGUACACUCUGGCUGAAGGGAGUCCUUUGAUUUAGUUUCAAAAUAGAGUCUCUCUCUUGGAUUUCCUUCUUGACUCUUUACCUAUGGGUCCAUUUCCCCCCGCCCCCCAUUGCUUCCCCUUCCAGGCAGCUCUAUUCUUACAGAGCCAUGGCAGGACAUUUAAAAAUUCCAAUGAAAACACUAAAAGGAAAGUGUAGAAUCACUAGCGACUAACCACUGGGAACCUAUUUUCUCAAUCUUCCUCUAUGUUGUGUUCUUUGUAUUCUCAAGAUGAUAAUAUAUUAUGUAUUUGAAUUGCUGAAAAAUUGAAAAUGAGGUUUAAGAUAUAUGUAUAUAAAGCAUAUGCUGUAUUGGUGCAAUAAUGGUAAUUAAAAAUAUGGAAAAAGAUAGUGUCUCUUUUAUCUUUUUUAUUUGCCUGUUUCUUUUCUUUUCUUUUUUACUUGUAUUUGUGACCUGUGGA